CAGUCGAGGGAGAGCACCUUUCGGGGUGUGGAGACCGGCGAACGGGUGAGUAACACGUGAGGAACCUGCCUCUGAGACUGGAAUAACUACGGGAAACUGUGGCUAAUGCCGGAUAUUCUCUUCGCUCCGCCUGGAGUGUUGAGGAAAUGGUCUGCCGCUCAGAGAUGGCCUCGCGGCCUAUCAGCUUGUUGGUGGGGUAAUGGCCUACCAAGGCAACGACGGGUAGCUGGCGUGAGAGCGCGACCAGCCACACUGGGACUGAGACACGGCCCAGACUCCUACGGGAGGCAGCAGUGGGGAAUCUUGCACAAUGGGCGAAAGCCUGAUGCAGCGACGCCGCGUGAGGGAAGAAGGCCUUCAGGUUGUAAACCUCUUUCAGUAGGGAAGAAGCGCAAGUGACGGUACCUACAGAAGAAGGAUUGGUUUUUUUUCGUGCCAGCAGCCGCGGUAAUACGUAGGGUCCAAGCGUUGUCCGGAAUUAUUGGGCGUAAAGAGCUCGUAUGCGGUCCGUUAAGUCGGAUGUGAAAUCUCACGGCUCAACCGUGAAACUGCAUCCGAUACUGGCGGACUUGAGGCAGGUAGGGGACGGUGGAAUUCCUGGUGUAUCGGUGUACAUGCGCAGAUCAUCAGGGAGGACUCCAGUGGCGAAGGCGGCCUUCUGGG
rnacentral:rRNA from 1 species